rnacentral:rRNA from 2 species
GCGUCGUGCUAUACAUGCAGUCGUACGAGGUAGCCGAUAGGUUGUUGCUUGCUCAAGAUCUACAUGGUGAGUGAGGGGGGAACUGGUGAGUACGGGAGGGAAUCCCGCCCGGAUGCUGGGGAUAACACCUGGACAAAUAUGCUUUACCGCAUAACAACUUGGACCGCAUGGUCCGAGGUUGAUGAUGGCUUCGGAUAUCACUUUUGGAUGGUCCCGCGGCGUAUUAGCUAGAUGGUGGGGUAACGGCUCACCAUGGCAAUGAUACGUAUCCGACCUGAUAGGGUAAUCGGCCACAUUGGCACUGAUACACGCCCCAAACUAAUCCGGGAGGCCACAUUAAGGAAUCUUCCUGGAAGGAAGAAAUGCUGACGGAGCAACGACGCGUGAGUGAUCAAGGGUUUCGGCUCGAAAACUCUGUGGUUACAGAAGAAUCCAUGUGACCGAAAGUGAUCACGUAUUGACUGAAUUUAACCAGAAAGCCACGGAUAGGUAAGGGUCUUCAGCCACGUUAAUAUUUAAGUGGCAAGCCCUGUCCGGAUUUAUUGCCCCUAAAAUUACUUUGAGUUUUUUUUUUGGUCUGAUGCUCCCCCCUUCGGAUGGUUCAAGGAAUUGCUGCNGAAACUGAGAAACUAAACCGUCCAACACGUAAGUGUAACUCCUUGUGGAAUGGAGAAACGCGGANAUAUAUGCAGGAUGCCCACCGUACAUUGCAGCUGUCUGGUCUGUUACUGACCCUGAGCCCGCUUCUACGCUUAGGAUACUCCAUAAGAUACCCUGGUACUCCCCACCGCAAGGGAUUACUGUUACCUGUUGUAGGGUUACGGUUCCUCAGUGCCGAAGCUAUUGCUUUAUUGAUCCAACUGGUUUACACCGACUUAAGCAGACACUUGGACGUAUUGUUCGGCGACAAACCGGGCGGGACUGGCGCUUAAGUUUACGNGCUGA